rnacentral:rRNA from 1 species
CGCGUAGGCGGUUUGGACGGUUAGGCGUGAAAUUCCUGGGCUCAACCUGGGGACUGCGCUUAAUACAUCCAGACUAGAGUGUGGAAGAGGGUCGUGGAAUUCCCAGUGUAGAGGUGAAAUUCGUAGAUAUUGGGAAGAACACCGGUGGCGAAGGCGGCGACCUGGUCCAUUACUGACGCUGAGGCGCGAAAGUGUGGGGAGCAAACA